ACCCCUUUAGUAUAAUUCGUAUAUUUGACUUCCAAUCAAAAGAUCCAGCAUUGGAAGGGGUA
rnacentral:tRNA from 1 species